AGUGAACGCUGGCGGCGUGCUUAACACAUGCAAGCCGAACGAGAACGGAUUAUAGCUUGCUAUAAUUGUCAGCUAAGUGGCGCACGGGUGAGUAAUGUAUAGGUAGUAUGCCUCUUACUAAGGGAUAACAACUGGAAACGUUUGCUAAUACCUUAUACUCCUUAUUAACAGAAGUUAAUAAGGGAAAGAUUUAUUGGUAAGAGAUUAGCCUGUAUUGUAUCAGUUAGUUGGUGGGGUAAUGGCUUACCAAGACUAUGACACAUAACUGGUUUGAGAGGAUGAUCAGUCACACUGGAACUGAGACACGGUCCAGACUCCUACGGGAGGCAGCAGUGGGGAAUAUUGCACAAUGGACGAAAGUCUGAUGCAGCAACGCCGCGUGGAGGAUGACACAUUUCGGUGCGUAAACUCCUUUUAUAUGAGAAGAUAAUGACGGUAUUAUAUGAAUAAGCACCGGCUAACUCCGUGCCAGCAGCCGCGGUAACAC
rnacentral:rRNA from 1 species